GACGAACGCUGGCGGCGUGCUUAACACAUGCAAGUCGAACGGAAAGGCCCUGCUUGCCGGGUACUCGAGUGGCGAACGGGUGAGUAACACGUGGGUGAUCUGCCCUGCACUUCGGGAUAAGCCUGGGAAACUGGGUCUAAUACCGGAUAGGAGCCAUUUUUAGUGUGAUGGUUGGAAAGUUUUUUCGGUGUAGGAUGAGCUCGCGGCCUAUCAGCUUGUUGGUGGGGUAAUGGCCUACCAAGGCGGCGACGGGUAGCCGGCCUGAGAGGGUGGACGGCCACAUUGGGACUGAGAUACGGCCCAGACUCCUACGGGAGGCAGCAGUGGGGAAUAUUGCACAAUGGGCGCAAGCCUGAUGCAGCGACGCCGCGGGGGGGAUGACGGCCUUCGGGUUGUAAACGCCUUUCGCUAGGGACGAAGCUUUUUGUGACGGUACCUAGAGAAGAAGCACCGGCUAACUACGUG
rnacentral:rRNA from 1 species